rnacentral:rRNA from 1 species
GACGAACGCUGGCGGCGUGCUUAACACAUGCAAGUCGAACGGACCCAGUAGCAAUAUUGGGUUAGUGGCGAACGGGUGCGUAACACGUGACCAAUCUGCCCCGGACUGGGGAAUAACGGAGGGAAACUUCCGCUAAUACCGCAUAUGGAGCGAGGCUCGCAUGGGCCUCUCUUGAAAGCUUCGGCGGUCCGGGAUGAGGUCGCGCCCCAUUAGCUUGUUGGCGGGGUAACGGCCCACCAAGGCGACGAUGGGUAGCUGGUCUGAGAGGACGAUCAGCCACACUGGGACUGAGAUACGGCCCAGACUCCUACGGGAGGCUG